AAAUCUUGUGAUGGCAUUUCCGGCGCAAAUGCGCAUGCCGAUUCGCUGAGGAAAUCAGCGCUGUCUAAAGUGCGCCUAGGAUGGCGGCGCACUGCGGACAAUCAACGCGCGCCCUUGGCGAUCGGUU
rnacentral:sRNA from 2 species